rnacentral:rRNA from 1 species
AAUGAACGCUAGCUACAGGCUUAACACAUGCAAGUCGAGGGGUAACAAGAGAAAAGCUUGCUUUUCUUGUUGACGACCGGCGCACGGGUGAGUAACGCGUAUCCAACCUGCCUAUAACUAGGGAAUAACCUUGCGAAAGUAAGACUAAUACCCUAUGAUUUCCUUUGAUGACAUCAGAUUAGGAAUAAAGAUUUAUCGGUUAUAGAUGGGGAUGCGUCUGAUUAGCUUGUUGGCGGGGUAACGGCCCACCAAGGCAACGAUCAGUAGGGGUUCUGAGAGGAAGGUCCCCCACAUUGGAACUGAGACACGGUCCAAACUCCUACGGGAGGCAGCAGUGGGGAAUAUUGGUCAAUGGACGGAAGCCUGAACCAGCCAAGUAGCGUGCAGGAUGACGGCCCUAUGGGUUGUAAACUGCUUUUAUACAGGAAUAAAGUUAGCCACGUGUGGUUAUUUGUAGGUACUGUAUGAAUAAGGACCGGCUAAUUCCGUGCCAGCAGCCGCAGUAAGAC